UGGGGAAUUUUGGACAAUGGGCGAAAGCCUGAUCCAGCAAUGCCGCGUGUGUGAAGAAGGCCUUCGGGUUGUAAAGCACUUUUGUCCGGAAAGAAAUCCUUGGCUCUAAUACAGUCGGGGGGAUGACGGUACCGGAAGAAUAAGCACCGGCUAACUACGUGCCAGCAGCCGCGGUAAUACGUAGGGUGCAAGCGUUAAUCGGAAUUACUGGGCGUAAAGCGUGCGCAGGCGGUUUGCUAAGACCGAUGUGAAAUCCCGGGCUCAACCUGGGAACUGCAUUGGUGACUGGCAGGCUAGAGUAUGGCAGAGGGGGGUAGAAUUCCACGUGUAGCAGUGAAAUGCGUAGAGAUGUGAGGAAUACCGAUGGCGAAGGCAGCCCCCUGGGCCAAUACUGACGCUCAUGCACGAAAGCGUGGGGAGCAAACAGGAUUAGAUACCCUGGUAGUCCACGCCCUAAACGAUGUCAACUAGUUGUU
rnacentral:rRNA from 1 species